rnacentral:rRNA from 1 species
UACGGGGGGGGCAAGCGUUGUUCGGAAUUACUGGGCGUAAAGGGCUCGUAGGCGGCCAACUAAGUCGGAUGUGAAAUCCCCAGGCUUAACCUGGGAACUGCAUCCGAUACUGGAUGGCUUGAAUCCGGGAGAGGGAUGCGGAAUUCCAGGUGUAGCGGUGAAAUGCGUAGAUAUCUGGAGGAACACCGGUGGCGAAGGCGACGUCCUGGACCGGCAUUGACGCUGAGGCGCGAAGGCCAGGGGAGCAAACGGG